rnacentral:rRNA from 1 species
AUACGGAGGGGACUAGCGUUGUUCGGAAUUACUGGGCGUAAAGCGUACGUAGGCGGAUCAGAAAGUAUGGGGUGAAAUCCCAGGGCUCAACCCUGGAACUGCCUCAUAAACUCCUGGUCUUGAGUUCGAGAGAGGUGAGUGGAAUUCCGAGUGUAGAGGUGAAAUUCGUAGAUAUUCGGAGGAACACCAGUGGCGAAGGCGGCUCACUGGCUCGAUACUGACGCUGAGGUACGAAAGUGUGGGGAGCAAACAGGAUUAGAAACCCUUGUAGUCC